UCUCUUCAAAAAUUGUUUGUGUGUUCUUCUCCGACGUUAGAGAGAGAAAGGAGAAAAGGCGAAAAUCAUAGAGAAUAACAAUUAUUUUUUUUGAUCCAAACGUUUGAACUGUUUUUCUCUUCGACCACUGGUUAGAUCUGCUGUGAAUUUCUUCAGAAAAUCUGAGGAGGAAAAAUAAUUGAAAGAAGCUAUGAAGAGAUUAAGGGAGGAUGGAUAUGCUAAUCCUCAAUUUAAGCGGCCAUUUGGUUCAUCGAAGGGAGAAUCGUACGGCCAAUCACAGCUUCCUGGAAGUGGCGCUGGUGGUGGUGACGGCACCGGGGGAGGGGGUACUGGUGCCAGUGCUAGUACCCAAAAGUUGACAACUAAUGAUGCAUUGUCUUACUUGAAGGAAGUUAAGGACAUGUUUCAAGACCAAAG
rnacentral:misc_RNA from 1 species